rnacentral:rRNA from 1 species
AGUGAACGCUGGCGGUAGGCCUAACACAUGCAAGUCGAACGGCAGCACAGUAAGAGCUUGCUCUUACGGGUGGCGAGUGGCGGACGGGUGAGGAAUACAUCGGAAUCUACUUUUUCGUGGGGGAUAACGUAGGGAAACUUACGCUAAUACCGCAUACGACCUACGGGUGAAAGCAGUGGAUCUUCGGACCUUGCGCGAUUGAAUGAGCCGAUGCCGGAUUAGCUAGUUGGCGGGGUAAAGGCCCACCAAGGCGACGAUCCGUAGCUGGUCUGAGAGGAUGAUCGGCCACACUGGAACUGAGACACGGUCCAGACUCCUACGGGAGGCAGCAGUGGGGAAUAUUGGGCAAUGGGCGCAAGCCUGAUCCAGCCAUACCGCGUGGGUGAAGAAGGCCUUCGGGUUGUAAAGCCCUUUUGUUGGGGAAGAAAAGCAGCAGGUUAAUACCCCGCUGUUCUGACGGUACCCAAAGAAUAAGCACCGGCUAACUUCGUG